rnacentral:rRNA from 1 species
UACAGAGACCUCAAGCGUUAUCCGGAAUCAUUGGGCGUAAAGCGUACCGAUAGGUGGUUUAACAAGUCAGAAGUGAAAUCUCCGAGCUCAACUCGGAAUCUGUCUUUUGAAACUGUUAAACUAGAAGGGCAAAGAGGAAGCUGGAACGAACGGUGUAGUAGUGAAAUGCGUUGAUAUCGUUCGGAACACCAAUAGCGUAGGCAGGCUUCUGGGUGCCACUUGACACUGCUAGGACGAAAGCGUGGGGAGCGAAUGGG